CAGGCUCCCUCCGUGGGCAUCCAGAGGGCUCCGGGAAGGCUGCAGGAAGGAGAAGGGACCUGUCCAGAGGCGUGGAAGGAGAGGCCAGGCUGGUGUGGCAGAUUCCCCUUGGCAGAACAAGGAGGAUUCGGCGGCGCCACAAUCGAGGAAUUAAACCCAUUUAAUUGACCCAUAAUUAAACCCAUAAUUGAACCUGUGGGUUUAACGUGC